UACCAGCUCCUCGAGUGGUCGGGGCGAUUAUUGGGCCUAAAGCAUCCGUAGCCGGUUCCGUAGGUCCUCUGUUAAAUCCAAUAGCUCAACUAUUGACCUGCAGAGGAUACCGCGGGACUAGGAGGCGGGAGAGGCGGACGGUACUCCGCGUGUAGGGGUAAAAUCCUUUGAUCCGCGGAAGACCACCAGUGGCGAAGGCGGUCCGCCAGAACGCGCUCGACGGUGAGGGAUGAAAGCUGGGGGAGCGAACCGG
rnacentral:rRNA from 1 species